rnacentral:rRNA from 1 species
GACGAACCGUGCAAACGUUGUUCGGAAUCACUGGGCUUAAAGGGCGCGUAGGCGGGUUCCCAAGUCGGUGGUGAAAUCUUUCGGCCCAACCGGAAAAGUGCCGCCGAUACUGGGAGUCUCGAGGGAGGUAGGGGUCGAUGGAACUUCCGGUGGAGCGGUGAAAUUCGUAGAUAUCGGGAGGAACACCGGUGGCGAAGGCGGCGACCUGGGUAGAUACUGACGCUGAGGUGCGAAAGCGUGGGGAGCAAACAGG